rnacentral:rRNA from 1 species
UACGAAGGGGGCUAGCGUUACUCGGAUUGACUGGGCGUAAAGGGCGCGUAGGCGGCUUGUACAGUCAGACGUGAAAUUCCUGGGCUCAACCUGGGGGCUGCGUUUGAUACGUGCGGGCUUGAGUUCGGAAGAGGGUCGUGGAAUUCCCAGUGUAGAGGUGAAAUUCGUAGAUAUCGAGAAGAACACCGGUGGCGAAGGCGGCCAUCUGGACAGAUACUGACGCUGAGACGCGAAAGCGUGGGGAGCAAACAGG